rnacentral:rRNA from 1 species
CAGACUUUGAUUAUGGCUCAGGAUGAACGCUAGCUACAGGCUUAACACAUGCAAGUCGAGGGGAAACGACAUUGGAAGCUUGCUUCCGAUGGGCGUCGACCGGCGCACGGGUGAGUAACGCGUAUCCAACCUGCCCACCACUUGGGAAUAACCUUGCGAAAGUAAGACUAAUGCCCAAUGACGUUGAAAGAAGACAUCUGAUUUCAACUAAAGAUUCAUCGGUGAUGGAUGGGGAUGCGUCCGAUUAGCUUGUUGGCGGGGUAACGGCCCACCAAGGCGACGAUCGGUAGGGGUUCUGAGAGGAAGGUCCCCCACAUUGGAACUGAGACACGGUCCAAACUCCUACGGGAGGCAGCAGUGAGGAAUAUUGGUCAAUGGGCGAGAGCCUGAACCAGCCAAGUAGCGUGCAGGAUGACGGCCCUAUGGGUUGUAAACUGCUUUUAUAAGGGAAUAAAGUGGGGCUCGUGAGCUCCUUUGCAUGUACCUUAUGAAUAAGGACCGGCUAAUUCCGUGCCAGCAGCCGCGGUAAUACGGAAGGUCCGGGCGUUAUCCGGAUUUAUUGGGUUUAAAGGGAGCGUAGGCCGCAGGUUAAGCGUGUUGUGAAAUGUAGGGGCUCAACCUCUGCACUGCAGCGCGAACUGGCUUGCUUGAGUACGCACAACGUGGGCGGAAUUCGUGGUGUAGCGGUGAAAUGCUUAGAUAUCACGAAGAACUCCGAUUGCGAAGGCAGCUCACGGGAGCGCAACUGACGCUGAAGCUCGAAAGUGCGGGUAUCGAACAGGAUUAGAUACCCUGGUAGUCCGCACGGUAAACGAUGGAUGCCCGCUGUUGGCUUGAAUUAGUCAGCGGCCAAGCGAAAGCAUUAAGCAUCCCACCUGGGGAGUACGCCGGCAACGGUGCAACUCAAAUGAAUUGACGGA